GACGAACGCUGGCGGCGUGCCUAAUACAUGCAAGUAGAACGCUUAAGAGAGGAGCUUGCUCUUCUUGGCUUAGUUGCGAACGGGUGAGUAACGCGUAGGUAACCUGUCUUGUAGCGGGGGAUAACUAUUGGAAACGAUAGCUAAUACCGCAUAACAAUGGAUGACACAUUUCAUUUAUUUGAAAGGGGCAAUUGCUCCACUACAAUAUGGACCUGCGUUGUAUUAGCUAGUAGGUGAGGUAAUGGCUCACCUAGUCGACGAUACAUAGCCGACCUGAGAGGGUGAUCGGCCAAACUGGGACUGCGACACGGCCAAGAAUCCUACGGGAGGCAGCAGUAGGGAAGCUUCGGAAAUGGGGGCAAUCCUGACCGAGCAACGCCGCGCGAGUGACGGAGGUUGUCGGAUCGUAAAGCUCGGUUGUAAGUCAAGAACGGGUGUGAGAGUGGAAAGUUCACACUGUGACGGUAGCUUAAAAGAAAGGGACGGCUAACUACGUG
rnacentral:rRNA from 1 species